CGGCGAACGGGUGACGUAACACGUGACGUAAUCUGCCCUUGGCUUUGGGAUAACUCCGGAAAACGGUGGCUAAUACCGGAUAGUGACCAUGCUCGGCAUCGGGGUGUGGUGGAAAGUUUUUUCGGCCAGGGAUGUGCUCGCGGCCUAUCAGCUUGGUUGGUGGGGGUAAAUGGCCUACCAAGGCUUCGACGGUAGCCGGCCUGAGAGGGUGACCGGCCACACUGGGACUGAGACACGGCCCAGACUCCUACGGGAGGCAGCAGUGGGGAAUAUUGGACAAUGGGCGGAAGCCUGAUCCAGCAACGCCGCGUGAGGGAUGACGGCCUUCGGGUUGUAAACCUCUUUCAGUACCGACGAAGCGCCGAUGAUGGUGGUGACGGUAGGUACAGAAGAAGCACCGGCCAACUACGUG
rnacentral:rRNA from 1 species